GACGAACGCUGGCGGCGUGCUUAACACAUGCAAGUCGAACGGAAAGGCCCUGCUUUUGUGGGGUGCUCGAGUGGCGAACGGGUGAGUAACACGUGAGUAACCUGCCCUUGACUUUGGGAUAACUUCAGGAAACUGGGGCUAAUACCGGAUAGGAGCUCCUGCUGCAUGGUGGGGGUUGGAAAGUUUCGGCGGUUGGGGAUGGACUCGCGGCUUAUCAGCUUGUUGGUGGGGUAGUGGCUUACCAAGGCUUUGACGGGUAGCCGGCCUGAGAGGGUGACCGGCCACAUGGGGACUGGGUGACGGCCCGGACUCCUCCGGGAGGCAGCAGUGGGGAAUAUUGCACAAGGGGCGGAAGCCUGAGGCAGCAACGCCGCGUGCGGGAUGACGGCCUUCGGGUGGUAAACCGCUUUCGCCUGUGACGAAGCGUGAGUGACGGUAAUGGGUAAAGAAGCACCGGCUAACUACGU
rnacentral:rRNA from 1 species